CAUGCAAGUCGAACGAGAGAGAGGGAGCUUGCUUCCUCAAUCGAGUGGCGAACGGGUGAGUAACGCGUGAGGAACCUGCCUCAAAGAGGGGGACAACAGUUGGAAACGACUGCUAAUACCGCAUAAGCCCACGGGUCGGCAUCGACCAGAGGGAAAAGGAGCAAUCCGCUUUGAGAUGGCCUCGCGUCCGAUUAGCUAGUUGGUGAGGUAAUGGCCCACCAAGGCAACGAUCGGUAGCCGGACUGAGAGGUUGAACGGCCACAUUGGGACUGAGACACGGCCCAGACUCCUACGGGAGGCAGCAGUGGGGAAUAUUGCACAAUGGGGGAAACCCUGAUGCAGCGACGCCGCGUGGAGGAAGAAGGUCUUCGGAUUGUAAACUCCUGUUGUUGAGGAGGAUAAUGACGGUACUCAACAAGGAAGUGACGGCUAACUACGUGCCAGCAGCCGCGGUAAAACGUAGGUCACAAGCGUUGUCCGGAAUUACUGGGUGUAAAGGGAGCGCAGGCGGGAAGACAAGUUGGAAGUGAAAUCUAUGGGCUCAACCCAUAAACUGCUUUCAAAACUGUUUUUCUUGAGUAGUGCAGAGGUAGGCGGAAUUCCCGGUGUAGCGGUGGAAUGCGUAGAUAUCGGGAGGAACACCAGUGGCGAAGGCGGCCUACUGGGCACCAACUGACGCUGAGGCUCGAAAGUGUGGGUAGCAAACAGGAUUAGAUACCCUGGUAGUCCACACCGUAAACGAUGAUUACUAGGUGUUGGAGGAUUGACCCCUUCAGUGCCGCA
rnacentral:rRNA from 1 species